rnacentral:rRNA from 1 species
ACGUAGGGUGCGAGCGUUAAUCGGAAUUACUGGGCGUAAAGCGUGCGCAGGCGGCUUUGUAAGACAGAUGUGAAAUCCCCGGGCUCAACCUGGGAACUGCAUUUGUGACUGCAAGGCUAGAGUGCGUCAGAGGGAGGUGGAAUUCCGCGUGUAGCAGUGAAAUGCGUAGAGAUGCGGAGGAACACCGAUGGCGAAGGCAGCCUCCUGGGAUGACACUGACGCUCAUGCACGAAAGCGUGGGGAGCAAACAG